GGAUGAACGUUGGCGGUGUGCCUAAUACAUGCAAGUCGAACGGAGUUAAUAGCAAUAUUGACUUAGUGGCGAACGGGUGAGUAACGCGUUGGUGAUCUGCCUCGAAGUGUGGAAUAACGUUCCGAAAGGAACGCUAAUACCGCAUGUGCUCUCGAUUUUUAGAAAGUUGAGAGUAAAGGAUUUAUUCGCUUCGAGAGGAGCCUGCGUCCCAUCAGCUGGUUGGUAGGGUAACGGCCUACCAAGGCUAUGACGGGUAGGGGACCUGAGAGGGUGGCCCCCCACAAUGGAACUGAAACACGGUCCAUACACCUACGGGUGGCAGCAGUAGGGAAUAUUAGAAAUGGACGAAAGUCUGAUCUAGCAACACCGCGUGUGCGAAGAAGGCCUUCGGGUCGUAAAGCACUUUUUGGAAGGAAUAGGAAGGAAUGUACUUCCAGAAUAAGUCUCGGCUAACUACGUGCCAGCAGCCGCGGUAACACGUAGGGGGCGAGCGUUGUUCGGAAUUACUGGGCGUAAAGGGCAUGUAGGCGGUCUUGUAAGCCUGACGUGAAAGGCUAUGGCUUAACCAUGGCACUGCGUUGGGAACUGCGAGACUUGAAUCACGGAGGGGGAACUGGAAUUCCAGGUGUAGGGGUGAAAUCUGUAGAUAUCUGGAAGAACACCAGUGGCGAAGGCGAGUUCCUGGCCGAUGAUUGACGCUGAGGUGCGAAAGUGUGGGGAUCAAACAGGAUUAGAGACCCUGGUAGUCCACACUGUCAACGAUGUGCACUAGGUGCUGGGGCGGAUGUUUCAGUGCCGGAGCUAACGCGGUAAGUGCACCGCCUGGGGAGUAUGCUCGCAAGGGUGAAACUCAAAGGAAUUGACGGGGGCCCGCACAAGCGGUGGAGCAUGUGGUUUAAUUCGAUGGUACACGAGGAACCUUACCUGGGUUUGACAUGCACAGGAAUACGGCAGAGAUGUCGUAGCGCCGCAAGGCGUCUGUGAACAGGUGCUGCAUGGCUGUCGUCAGCUCGUGCCGUGAGGUGUUGGGUUAAGUCCCGCAACGAGCGCAACCCCUACUGCCAGUUACUAACAGGUAAUGCUGAGGACUCUGGCGGAACUGCCGGUGACAAACCGGAGGAAGGUGGGGAUGACGUCAAGUCCUCAUGGCCCUUAUGUCCAGGGCUACACACGUGCUACAAUGGUCGGUACAGAGUGACGCGAAGCCGCGAGGUGGAGCAAAUCGCAGAAAGCCGGCCUUAGUUCGGAUCGGAGUCUGAAACUCGACUCCGUGAAGGUGGAAUCGCUAGUAAUCGCGCAUCAGCAUGGCGCGGUGAAUACGUUCCCGGGCCU
rnacentral:rRNA from 1 species